GGGCCCGUUGCCUAGCCUGGACCCUCGAUGGGAUCAUCCUUCGGAGUUAGAGAUCGCCGGUUCAAAUCCGGCCGGGCCCGCCA
rnacentral:tRNA from 1 species